UGAUCGCUGCAGGGCCAGCCUCGGAGCUGUGCGGCGCGGCCGGUGUGGAUUACACAAUCGGUUAACAUGGGCACCGAAAGGAAACUGGCUUUGCUUCUCGGCGCUUCAAGGCUAUUCGCAGCGCUUCCGCGGGCGUGGGUGUUAGUGCCACCAGGCCUUCCUGCAGCAACAGUGUUUAUGUCAUCUUUCCUCCCGACAAUCUCAAAGUAAUGGGAAUAUUUCCAGCCGCUAAAAUGCUGUUGUCUUGGAGGAGCUGCUAACUAUGGUGGUGGUUGUGAAAGCACAAACGACCCCAUCUGGAGCCAGUGUUUGGUUUAUCUGUUCUGAGCUACUGUAGACCUGAAGGUGCAACAUGGUGAUCACUGUGGAUGAGGACCAGCUCCAUACGUGGAUAUAACAGCUCAUUCUAAGUGGUGUCCACACUGCUGGAAAUAACAGAUGAUUUCUGAGGCGUGUCAUCAGAGUGAGCAGGAUGUCCUGAAGAUGGAACUCCCCAGAGAAUGGACGGGUUAGGUCAAGACAGGCCUCGUCUGCCUCCGCUGUCAGACUGCCAAGGCCAAAGUCUCUGGGUGGAGAGAAUGUCACUGUUAAAGGUUCUAACUUAAAUUGAUGCUGCUGCAGUUCCUACUGGUGACCGAGAGCGUUCAAUAGAUGUGAUAGAUGACUUAUUGCCUCCUGAAGCUACUCUUGUGCAAUUGGACAGUGACUCUCGGAAGAUGGAAGGUUACAGCUGCUGUGUCCCUCGGAGCGUCCCAAUGACAUCAGGCAGCUCUACUGGAACAAUUUGGAUUAUGAGCCUCAAGGGCAGUGCUGCUAUCGUUUCUUCCACUUAAAGGAACAGUUCAACAUUUUGGGAAAUGCAAUAAUUUUCUGUCUUUAGCUUAGCUGGAAAUGGGGAAUCAGCUAGAUCUGGUGAAAUGUUAAAAAAAAAAAACCUGUCUACCUGCACUUUAUAGCUUGCAGUGUUUUGCCUAUAAUUGCAUCGGCCUAGCAGGAAAAAAACUGCAUUUUGUUGUCAUUUAAACAUGCGUGAAACAAGAUGACACGAGACGACGUGUCGGCCGUCUCUUUAUUAUGCCACUUUUUCUUGUGCUUUUUUAUUUCUUUUUUC